AGAGUUUGAUCCUGGCUCAGAACGAACGCUGGCGGCGUGCCUAACACAUGCAAGUCGAACGGGGAUAAGUAGCUUGCUAUUUAUUCUAGUGGCGCACGGGUGAGUAACGCGUAGAUAAUCUGCCUUAGACUCUGGGAUAACAUCUCGAAAGGGGUGCUAUACCGGAUAAGCCCACGGGGACGUGAGUUCUUGCGGGAAAAGGGGGCCUCUGCAUAUGCUCUUGAUCUAAGAUGAGUCUGCGUACCAUUAGCUUGUUGGUAGGGUAAUGGCCUACCAAGGCGACGAUGGUUAGCUGGUCUGAGAGGAUGAUCAGCCACACUGGGACUGAGACACGGCCCAGACUCCUACGGGAGGCAGCAGUGGGGAAUUUUGCGCAAUGGGGGAAACCCUGACGCAGCAACGCCGCGUGAGUGAUGAAGGCUUUCGGGUCGUAAAGCUCUGUCUAGAGGGAAGAAGUGAUAUUCGGUUAAUACCCGGGUUUCUUGACGGUACCUCUGAAGGAAGCACCGGCUAACUCCGUGCCAGCAGCCGCGGUAAUA
rnacentral:rRNA from 1 species